rnacentral:rRNA from 1 species
CUACGGGCCGCUGCAGUGAGGAAUAUUGCACAAUGGGGGGAACCCUGAUGCAGCAACGCCGCGUGGAGGAUGACGCAUUUCGGUGUGUAAACUCCUUUUAUAUGUCAAGAAAAUGACGGUAGCAUAUGAAUAAGCACCGGCUAACUCCGUGCCAGCAGCCGCGGUAAUACGGAGGGUGCAAGCGUUACUCGGAAUCACUGGGCGUAAAGGACGCGUAGGCGGGUUGGAAAGUCAGGUGUGAAACCCUACAGCUUAACUGUAGAACUGCACUUGAAACUUCUAAUCUAGAGUAUGGGAGGGGGAGAUGGAAUUAGUGGUGUAGGGGUAAAAUCCGUAGAUAUCACUAGGAAUACCUAAAGCGAAGGCAAUCUCCUGGAACAUUACUGACGCUAAGGCGUGAAAGCGUGGGGAGCAAACAGGAUUAGAUACCCCGGUAGUC